AACGAACGCUGGCGGCAUGCCUAACACAUGCAAGUCGAACGAGACCUUCGGGUCUAGUGGCGCACGGGUGCGUAACGCGUGGGAACCUGCCCUUAGGUUCGGAAUAACUCCCCGAAAGGGGUGCUAAUACCGGAUAAUGUCUUCGGACCAAAGAUUUAUCGCCUUUGGAUGGGCCCGCGUUGGAUUAGCUAGUUGGUAGGGUAAAAGCCUACCAAGGCGACGAUCCAUAGCUGGUCUGAGAGGAUGAUCAGCCACACUGGGACUGAGACACGGCCCAGACUCCUACGGGAAGCUGCAGUGGGGAAUAUUGGACAAUGGGCGAAAGCCUGAUCCAGCAAUGCCGCGUGAGUGAUGAAGGCCUUAGGGUUGUAAAGCUCUUUUACCCGGGAUGAUAAUGACAGUACCGGGAGAAUAAGCGCCGGCUAACUCCGUG
rnacentral:rRNA from 1 species